UACAGAGGGUGCGAGCGUUAAUCGGAAUUACUGGGCGUAAAGCGCGCGUAGGCGGCUUUGCAAGUCGGGUGUGAAAUCCCCAGGCUUAACCUGGGAACUGCAUUCGAGACUGCAUUGCUAGAGUAUGGGAGAGGGAAGUGGAAUUCCGGUGUAGCGGUGAAAUGCGUAGAUAUCGGAAGGAACAUCAGUGGCGAAGGCGGCUCACUGGCCCGGUACUGACGCUGAGGUGCGAAAGCGUGGGGAGCAAACA
rnacentral:rRNA from 1 species